AAUCAGGAAGAAAUCGCGACAGGAAAAACGAUAGCCGGUUAGUCACCGCACAAUCCUUAAACCGAAAGUAAACCUAGGUCUUGCCCUAAACCCAGCGCACUGGUCUCUAACAUCUCAAAGGCAUGAUAUCGAAAGAUAAGAGAUUCUUAAACCACGCCUCUAUGUUUACGUUCGAUACCUUCAGCGCCCCCGCAGAGUUCACAUCUCGCGGAAGAACUCUCGAAACAGGUCUCGAAUAAAACAUUUCACAAUCGAAGAAGGAUAUGAGACGACAACUCAUCACCUUCCUCCCCACUAUUCACAAAUUCAUAAAAAACGUUAUCCGAUUAUCAUACCAUAAAGCCGCGGAGCGGCAGGGAUUCAAAGCCACACACGGCCAGUCCCGAAAUACAAACAAGGCCGUUCAAGGCCGAAGCAUAAAGACAUAAAAAAAAAAACAAAUCUCUCGCAAGAGAUCUAACCCAAGUCACCCUCAGAACUUACGCUCCCUCUUCACCCGCCGCCUCGUCCGACCUGGAGCCGCGUCGCUUCCGUUCUCUCCGACCAUCGGAUCUUUCCCCUCUGGGUCUUCUGAACACGUCGGAAGGAAGCAAGCGGAUUUUAGGUCGGCCAGGAUGAGACCGAAAUCGCCAUCCUCGGCCGCCAUAUCUCCCUUGCAGCCGGACAGUCGGGCCUCUUCGGCCUCCAAGGUCGGGGGAGUCUCACUUUGGAACGACCGAACCACGGCCAUCCCGCCCUCAAUCGUCGCCAAAGCGAAAUCCCUGCUCCGGAUACACUCGAGGGAACCCAGGGAAGCAGAAAUCUUCGCCAAACGAGCCUGAAACUCCGCACAAAGGGCAUCCGUAGCCUCUUGGAUCCCGCGGCGCGCUAGUCCAGCGUCACUCUCGAUCUGACGCUGGAGUCGACGCACCUCCGAGGAUUUGGC
rnacentral:lncRNA from 1 species